CGGCCGUCCCCUCGCCCGCACCAGGGCCGACCAGCCAGGGCCCCCAGGCCUGUCGGGAAAACGUGCUGACCCUCGCUGCCCGGUGUGAGGGUGGCCGCUGGAGUGGGUCCGCACGCACACCGCAGCGGCCGCUUACCCGCGAAUGUUGCCGGAGCCCGUGACGCCCCAUUGGUUUGUCUCUGCCUCUCCCGCCCCGGGACCGGCGUCAGGAGCCUGGAGUGCUGUGAUGGAUGGCACCGGCCGGUGCUCCCGCCGAGGCCAGAGUCCGCUCUGCGUGUGUAGGCCGCCCCGGGGCCUCACGCGGUGCCGCAGGUGAUCACGGGGGCACUGCCAGGCAAGAGGGCUGGGGCCCGGGCUCUGCCUCUCGAGCGCUGUGUGGCCCCGGACAAACGUCCUGGCCUCUCUGGGCGCCUGUGUGUGACUACUCUCCUGCCUCCCUGCUUGGGCUGAGGGUCCGUACAAAAAUGGGGCGCCGUGCGUGAGCCUCGCCAUCGAUGCAAGCUCCCCACGGGCCGGCCCUUCGAUCCAGAACCUUCCGUGCCUGUGCUCACCUCACCCCCAGGCAACUCCGCAAGGCUGCCCACGUGCCCCAGCACAAGCGACCCCACGGUGGACUCAGGCCCGGACUCCGCGUGUCUCUGAGACUCGCUUCCUCUCGGUGUCAGGUGGCGUGGAGGGCAGGAGGGGCGUCGCUGGGCCCAUAACCCCAAGUGCCGGGUUCAAUGCCAUCACCCCCAGGCAGGGCCACGGAAGGGGAGGCACGGAAGGACCGCGUGGUCAGCUCCACCCCAGCGGACGCAGCCUGUCUUCCUGCCCAGGAGCUGGGGCGGCCCCUGCCCACCGGGGCUCCCAGUCACGAGGACCCGGCUGCUUCCAGGCACGAGGCGAGUCCCCCGCUGAAGGAGCCUCCCCACUGAUUCUAGAAGAGGCCAGAUUCCUCCUUCCACAUUUCCAGCCCUGCCCCUCCCCCUUCCCUGGAGCCCUUAUUCUACAACAGGACCGAACCACCCGUUAUUUAAUAAAAUUGUCAGAACAACUGAUCUGUGCGACAUACAUAGCUCUCUCUCUCUCCCUCUCUCCUUUCUUUCCAGAUUCGAUAAACCUGAGAGUGUUCCAAGAAGCCAGGGAAGUGAUAGGAGGCAUCAGUCACACGUGAGAUAAUGUGGCCGUGCAGCACCCGAGCCCAGUGCGGGGAAGCCCCCCCUAGAAGAGGUCAGACCGCUGCUCUGGGCAGGGGAACUGGCCGCAGGCCAGGGCAGCAGCUCACAGGGAGGACAGGGGAGUGGAAGAAGCUUUGGAGGAUGGAUGCAAUCCGGGGAGGUUUCCUGGAGGAGGAAACACCAGCACUGGGUCUUGAAGCACGAACAGGAGAGUUUGCCUGUGGGAAAGGAGGGGGGGGGAGGGACUUGCCCGCCAGAGGAACACUGAGUGUGCACGGCCACGGGCAGGACAGCAGGGGCUAUGGGACGAUCCUUGGUGGCCGAGUGUGAGGCACCUGGGGGCCAGGUCAAGGCCACAAACUGGAUGUGGACGUGAGGUCCUUGAUGUUGGUGGCCCUGAGAUCACCCAACGGCCACAGGAUUUCAGGAGAGAGGUUGCUCUUAACCACAGGCCCUGGGCCCUUCACCCCCUGAGGGCGAAGGCAUGAUGGGAAGCCUUCUCCUAACUCGUUGCCUGGAGGGCGUCACUCCCCACCCACAGGGCUGUCUGGGUGGACCCUGUCCCCUCCGCACGUCUUCAGCGUCUCCUGUCCCCACACUUUAGGGCCCUGAAUGGGUGACAGUCCUGGAUUCCUGGGCGAGUCCUAGUAGUCACAAGGGUCCUGGGGGGGGGGGCGGUGGCAGAAGGCCCACCCACACGAGCAGACCAAGGAAGGCAGGCGCCUGCAGGAGCCAGGAGAGGCAAGGAGUGGGUUCCCCCGGAGCCUCUCGGAGGAAGCGGCCCCCUGGCCACGGGGGGUUUAGCCCCUGACCCCCAGGCUGGAGCUCGGGACCGGCCGCGGCCGCGCAAAGACUCACGCAGGGCGCCGGCUCCCAGCCGCAAACCUCAGCGCCACUCCUUAACCUGGCUUCUCCCCACCAAACGCCGCGGCCCCAGGAUUUGGGGAGGACCCCUGCCCCGGCCGACACACGGCCCGGGGGCGGCGACAUCUCCCU
rnacentral:lncRNA from 1 species